UACGUAGGGAGCAAGCGUUGUCCGGAAUCAUUGGGCGUAAAGCGCGCGUAGGUGGCUUCGUAAGUCCGCUGUGAAAGUCAAAGGCUCAACCUUUGAAAGCCGGUGGAUACUGUGAAGCUAGAGUACGGAAGAGGCGAGUGGAAUUCCUGGUGGUAGCGGUGGAAAUGCGCAGAUAUCAGGAGGAACACCAAUAGCGAAGGCAGCUCGCUGGGACGUACUGACACUGAGGCGCGAAAGCGUGGGGAGCGAACAGG
rnacentral:rRNA from 1 species